AAAUCCUGAAUAUGAGCGUAAGUAAUUUGCAAAGUCAGAGAUCAGCAUAUCAAUAAAACAUUGAGAUGUCAACCCCAGCCUCCAUACACAGCACAGCUAAUGGGAAACAUAUUGCUCAAAGUGAGAUCUUGACAUCAAAACGGAGGCAGGAGGAAGAGGAUGUAGAUGCACUUUUCCUGCUCCGACAGAUAAUGCCCCACCCUUGCUGUUUUCUGCAUCCGGGAUGGGAUAACCCCCCAACAGGACAGGCUUUAUGAACCAACUUCAACCCUUCCGAAUUAAAUAUGAGAUAUUGCAGAACAGGGAGCUUGUUCAGCAUUGCAGAGGUUGGACAUGCUUCAGGAAUAAACAUCUCAUCUUCCUGCCGUCACAAUGAUGGACAGAAGCAGAAGGAACCGCUGAACACUGACGGAGCGGGAUGAUCGAGUCCUCUGGGAUGAAGCGGAAUGACUGGACAACUCACUGGGAAGAGCAAAGGAUUUUUAUUUGUUUCCAUGCAAUCUCUAUAAUUACUUUCUGUGCAUAUCUAUAAAGGCAACGAUGAAAAGAAUAUUGUGCAGUAUCGAUGUCACACAAUGCUGUUGUAAAUUUAUUUUAUUAAAUGCUGGACUGAUUUACAUCAUACAGUAUUUAUUUACCAUUUCUUCAGCAUUUCUAAUUCACAAAUAAAUGCCUAAAAUGAAUUAAAAUAAAAAAGGCACUUCUUUACAGGCUAAGAUAGGCUAAAGAAAUUUGAAUAAAUUUGAAAUUUGAAGAAAUCUGUAUAAAAUAAAAUAAAAAAAUGAAAUAAAAAAGCACUUUCUUACCAGAGAGGCUAAGGAAUUUUGUCAGAAUAAAAUAAAAUAAAAAUAAAAU